CGACACAAUCAAUAAGUACUACCCAUGGUAGAAUAAUUAGCAGAUUUUGUACGUAAAUCUUAUGUCAGACUUAUAUGUCCAAAACUGUAAAUAAACCUAUAAAGUAUUUUUAUUCCUAAAUUCCUAAAAUGUAAUUUUUUAUGAUUUGAAUUAUUGAAUUAAAAUGCACAACAAAUAUUCCUAAAAUGUUUAAUUUUAUUAAUAUGAUUUGUUUAUUCGAUACACUACGGAGUUGCGGUGAUUCGUAGUCGGUCUCUGAUAGGUACUACCAUGGUACAAUGAAGAGAAGGUAGGUCAACUUUGAAAAAAAUGCAAGUAUAGAGGUCUACCUGUUUGGCUUGUAAUGUCAGAAUUGCUAUCAAAAAAAUAAAAAAGCAAACAACUUGUUGCAUUGAUUUUGAAUAAAUAAUUUAAAACCGCGAAAACUGAAUAAAAGGUCAACAUUUCUUUUCAAAAUCAUGUUCUAUAUAUCUCUUAUGGUUUAUUUCGCGACAAAAACUGUAGAUUUUGUCGAUGCAUACGUUGCAAUAAGCAUUUUAAAAACACCCGAAUUUGAAUAUUUUGUGAACAAUUUUUCUAUUAUUGAAAAGAAGACACACACAUAAGCAAAUGAAGUUGACAUAUUAAGCCAGAAAAAUAAAAAAAUUGAAAUCAUAUGGUAGUUCUGCCCUACCUUGAAUUCAUUGUACCAUGGGUACUACCAUGCCGCAAUAACAAGCUCUUGCACAAAUUUUACAACCCAAAUUUGUUUCAAAUUUGGUGUUUGAUAUUCGCAAUAGAUAUAAUAAUAUUUGGGCUUAACGUUGGCACUUUUGGUAGGUAUUUUUACCCUGAUUCCGGGAAACUAUUUUUUUCUUGGGGGACGGACCUGGGACCCCAGAUUUUUACCCGAAUGUCCGGAUUCGAGACCCGGGCUAGACUUACCGGAUACACUUACCCAAUAUAGACUAUAUAUGUUGGAAAGCUAUAAGCAACGUUUAUUAAUGAUAUUUUACAAAAUUAUUCAAUCCAACUCUCCGUAAGUAUUGCGCACCAGUUUUGUUUUUUCCCAUUCAACCCAUCAUACACAGAUUGUAAUUUCACUUUUAUUUUUCUCAGAGUUUGAACGAAAAUUUAUUGUUAGGGUUCCACGGAUAUGGAAAGUUCUUCCUCUGCGUCUUCGCACUUUUGUCUAUCCAACCAAUAUAUUUAAAAAUAAGUACAUAACUUUCACUUCAACUGCAGUACUUCAACUCAGUUACAUAAAAUGCAGAGCUGGGAAUGCUGGUUUGAAAUGAGGUUACUUUUUUUGUGGAGGGUGUGGAGGGUAUAAAAAUUUUCAAUGUGGUUAGUGUUUUGGUAUAGUGUUUGGUUCUUUUCUGCUCUAUCAUGUGCCAUGGUAGAAGAACAUAGGUAGACGCAUCGAAACAGCUACUGGAACAAUGAACUGCCAAACCAAUUUUGAAAUUGAAAAUGUUAAAUGAAAAAUUAUUUAAUGCAUCUAUCUGUAUUCCUCUAUCAUGAUCGUGUGCUAAGCAUAGUAGAAUUAAGGAAGUGAAGUCAUUUCAAAUAAGCAUUCCCAUCUUUGGAAUUAGAAAUAUUGAAUGAAAAAUUAUUUAUAUUUGUAAAAACGGUUGAAAACGCGUAUUAUAAUAACCUCCGAAUGACGUCGUAUAAGAAAACUUAUAAAAAUCUACUUAUAUUUGAAGAGACAUUUAAACAUUUUUGACAUAUUAAUGUUCCCAAGCGUCGGUGCAUCUAUCUGUAUUCCUCUAUCUUUAUCAUGAGAUAAGCGUGGUAUAAUUAAGGAGGUGAAGUCAUUUCAGAUAAGCAUUCCCAUCUUUGCCUUUUCUGUAACUGAGCUUGUCAAAUACAAUCGUUCAAAUGAAUUGUCACAACAAAAACAAGACUCGUUAAUUAACAUUUAUAAACCAUCCAUAUAUUCAAUCAAUCUUGUGAAAUGAAAUGUUUGUGAAAAAAAUGGUUAAAGGUAUUUUGUAAUCGGUUCCCGUAAAAAGAGGAUUUUUUCCGAAGGUCGCCGUUUUUAUCCUGAUUAAUGCAAUAUACAUUUUGUAAAGAAGAAACCUGUACCCUCUAUAACAUAUGGUCACAGAUGGUGACAUCAUUUCAAAACUUUGAUUCGUGUAGCCUGCAUUGAACUCAUAUUGGUUAACUGCUUCAAAAUAAAUACUAAUAUUUGCACCAGUUCUCGGUCAGGUGUGAAAAGGGACAAUAUCGACCAGCUUUUUAGUACCUCCGAUUGUCUUAUGAAAGAUUGCAUAUGAGAAACGAAUAGAACGGACCACUCCUACUAGUUCCUCACGGGUUAAAAUUUUGAAUGACAUUGCCACCCAUAAAAGGCGAAUUGAACGGUACACCCGAACAUUUGCAUCAAUACAGGAUCUCUUAUGGAGAAGGGAUACAUCGGUCCUCCUGGCUCUCCCCACAAAGCCUCAACAUUUUGAAUAACCAUAUAUCAUAUACAAUGUGAAGAGGAAGUUGUCUUAAAAUUUUGCACAACCAAAUAUUUCUACCAACACGAGAUCUGGUAUGAAGUUGGGAUUACUCCUUCUGAUACCUCCACCAUAACGGGUGAAAAUUUUAUCCCUGUACAUCUGCAUACACAGAAUCUGACGAAGAGGUGGGACGUAGCUCCGUUUGGAAAAUUAAACGAUGCUUGUCCAAAAAUUAUAAGUGUCACAUGCUUGGGACCAUCAUUUGGCUCUUCUUCGGAUUGGGAAUAACAGAAAAAUAUCAAUUUCGGCGAAAAAUUGUUUUUGUUUGCAUAGGAAAUACGUUUUCAUAUUUUCAAAUUCAAAAUGUGUAUUUUGAAUUUGAAUUUAUGUUUUUUUGUUAUGUUUUGUUUGCAUUAGUUUAUCUUCUUGAUUCUAAUAGAAAUGGUAAUAUCAUUGUUUCAUAUAAAAUUCAUUUCCCUGAAUGUAUAGUUGUUAGCUGUUUGUUCCUAAUCUCUCAACACUUCAAGCAAUCACUAGAAAAUCGUGGAAAAGGCAACAUCCCUUUCAAGUUGAACCCAAACAGCAUACAUAUAUAAAGUAUCUACAUUUUCUAAUUUUAGGAAACAUGAAAUAUAUGACUAUAUUUUCUAACGUGGUGUCGCUGUUCCUUAACCGCAAAAAAAGAUUCCGAACAAUCGCCUUUGGUGUUUUGUUAAGUACAACGGCGAUUUUUUCUAUUCUUAGCCAAAAAAUAUUUUUACAUUGCCCUGCAGUAAAUUUUUAUAUCAAAAAAAGCUAUACCUAUUGAAUAUCAGGGAAUGGAAUUAAAUUACAAAACGUCAUAUCGAGUUUGAUACUGGUAUUACUAUAGAGUCAAAUCAGCUGGGACUUGCUGUUACCUGUAAUAAUUACACCAUGGUUGAGUUCCUUGCAUGGUAGAAGAAUACAGGUAGUCGCUAAUGCAGAAAAACAAAAAUCAUUUUUUGUCGUGGUGUGGUGCUGAAGUAUUUGAUUUGCUAAAAAAUUUUUUUGGUGUCGCGAGUCUAGAACAGUAUACGUAUAAAGAGCUAACAUCGAAGCUAACAGAACAUAUCGCUAUAUGUCAACAUGUAGUAGCAGCGCGGUAUGAGUUUUUCAAGAGACAAAUGAGAAGUACACAACCAUACAGUAAAUGGAUAGCAGAUUUGCGAGUCUAGCGAGAGCUUGCAGUUUCGUAUGUAGCGCAACAGAAUGCGCACCUAGCUUCGUCGACGACAUGAUCAGAGACCACAUAAUAGUUCACACACCACAUGACUCAGUUAGAGCUGAUCUGCUCCAGAAGCAGAGAUCAACGCUUACUGAUGUGUUAUUAAUAGCAGAGCCAUAUGAGGCAACAACAACAGCGGUUGGUGUAUUAAAAGAGAUCCCGGUACAUAUGCAUACUCAGAAGCUGACGAAAAGAUGGUACGUAGCUCCGUUUGGAAAAUUAAACGAUGCCUGUCCAAAAAUUAUAAGAGUCACAUGCUUGGGACCAUCAUUUGGCUCUUCUUCGGAUUUGGGAAUAAUAGGAAAAACAUCAAUUUCGGCGAAAAUUUGUUUUUGUUUACAUAAGAAAUACGUUUUCAUGUUUUCAAAUUCAAAAUUUUUAUUUUGAAUUUGAAUUUAUGUUUUGCAAAAUCAUUUUUACAAUGAGAUGUGGUCAAAUGGAUAAUUUUGAAAAAAAAAAAUUAUGCAUAUGAUUGUUUGACUUAACCUUCUUUAUUCUACCAUGGCGCUAAGUGUGGGCAGACAUAUGACACUCAAUAGAAAAAAGGUUUAAAUUAUUAGUAUUCUUAAUUUUUCGUCUAAAACAGUAUAUAAAUUUGAAAUAGAAAUAUAAAAUUUAAUUGCUGUGAAGUAAAAAUUCUCAUUGUUUUACUUUUUUUGUUAAGAAAGUAAUAUCCAUGGCAAAAAUGAGAAGGUUAAGUCAUUUCAAAAAUGCACACCCAUCUCUGCAUUUUCUGUAAUUUACGUUGUCAAAUUUCGCUACAUAAAAACUAAGUUUUCACCUCUGAUUUGUGUGUUUACAAUGGAUGUGUAUAUAUAAAUUUUGACCAUGAAAUAUUGUCAAAUGAUUAAUUUUGAAUAAACUUGUAAAUAUAUGUUUGCAUGUGUUUAUCUUUUUGACUCUACCAUGGUAUUAUCACAGUUUCAUGUUUUAUUUAAUUAAAGUUCGUGUAAUAUAUGUACACUUUGUAUUUGCUUAAAUGUACUUUUAGAGACUUUAUUAGUACUACUUUAAUACCAACACUAUCAUAAGUCCCAAAAUUGUCAACCUUGUAAAUAGAAGCUUAGAAAUUAUUUGAAUAAAUGUUCAGUUCCAUCAUAGAAGAAUACAGGUAGAUGCAUCAACGCUUGGGACAUUGAUAUGUCAAAAAAUUUUAAAUGUUGUUUCAAAUAUAAGUAGAUUUAUACAUAUUUUCUUUUACGACGUCAUUCGCAGGUUAUUAUAAUUCG